rnacentral:lncRNA from 1 species
GCCUGUUUUAACAGAACCAACAUUUUAGCUUGUUGAUGAAAUUGCUUCUAGCUCUGCUAGAGUGGUGUCUAUGUAAAUAAGCAGACUGAGACCUACUUCUGAUGAAUGUAGGAAAGGAAAUGCUUUCUUCUCAAUGCUAAAGUGAGCUGGAGACUUUCAUCUUUAGGGAUCAGCAUGACACUGAAGACAUUGAAGAAUAUGUUCAGGCUAUGGAUGUUCAGCAUUUGAUACAGUUACAAGUAUUUGGUUGAGAGGAGUCUGCACCUUCAGGUGGUCCCAGCUGUAGAGUUUUAAACAUAUCUGAAGAGAAGCUGAAUUGGUGAAUUUCAAGGUUGUGAACAGAGCAAAAUGUGAAAC